GCAUAUAAGAUAAAAGUGAGAGAUCUUAUGUGGGAGACUUUAUCAAGAAAAAUAUUGGUUCUGGUCAAAAGGGAUAACAAGGACUUGUCUAAUCCUAUGAGUUCAGAUCCAAUUCAAAAAAAAAAUUAAAAUCAAAAUCAAAAUCAAAAACAAAAUCAAAAACAAAAAGAAGAAAGAGAAAAAAUCAAAAUCAAAGUCAAAAGGAAAAUGGAAAAAAGAGAAGCAAAAAAGGAAAAAUGGAAAAAGAAAAGGAGAGGCCAAGGCGAAAACCUGCAAAGGGCGCUUUGUGACCAAAGGUGGCUUUGAGUUGAAAACUCGAAAAGGGCAACUCAAAUUUUGAGCAAAAUGAGGCAUGAAC
rnacentral:lncRNA from 1 species